rnacentral:rRNA from 1 species
CCUACGGGUGGCAGCAGUGGGGGAUAUUGCACAAUGGGGGGAACCCUGAUGCAGCGACGCCGCGUGGGUGAAGGAGUGCUUCGGCAUGUAAAGCCCUAUCGGCAGGGAAGAAGCAAGACGGUACCUGACUAAGAAGCCCCGGCUAACUACGUGCCAGCAGCCGCGGUAAUACGUAGGGGGCGAGCGUUAUCCGGAUGCACUGGGUGUAAAGGGAGCGUAGACGGCCAUGCAAGCCAGGGGUGAAAGCCCGGGGCCCAACCCCGGGACUGCCCUUGGAACUGUGCGGCUAGAGUGCGGGAGGGGCAGGCGGAAUUCCUGGUGUAGCGGUGAAAUGCGUAGAUAUCAGGAGGAACACCGGCGGCGAAGGCGGCCUGCUGGACUGCGACUGACGUUGAGACGCGAAAGCGUGGGGAGCGAACAGGAUUAGAUACCCGAGUAGUC